GAGGGCAUAGCUCAGUGGUAGAGCACAUGCUUAGCAUGCACAAGGUCCUGGGUUCAAUCCCCAGUACCUCCA
rnacentral:tRNA from 1 species